rnacentral:misc_RNA from 1 species
ACUCAACAUCAAGAAGCGCUCGCUUUAGAGCACCCUCCGCCUGCAUGGUUGCCGCCUGGGCCGCAGACAGCGUCUGGCGACGCUGAUCAACAACGCUCUCGGAGACGGCUGAAGUCUUCACCAGCGUUUCAGCUCGCGCCAACUCGCGCUCUGCCAGGUCGACCUUGGCCUUGGCGUCCGCAAGCUGACCACGAGCCUGCUC